AUGACCGAAGACCAGCUAUUUAAGCCAGACGGAGACCUCAACCACAGUUGCACCCCAUUUCCUCUCUGUCUUCCUCCCCUUCGCGCCGCCACUCACCCAUCCACUCGCGUCCACUGCUACCCGCUAGCCAUGGCCCGCCGGAAGGUCACCACCUAUGCCAUGCUCACGCUGAAGGGGCGCCUAGAAUUGAUUGAGGAGAUCCUGGCUAAGAGCAAAGCCCGGAUCGCAGCCGGCCUGCCUCCGGACUCGCCGAACCCAGAGGAGGAGGAGGACGCAGAGGCGGAGCUGGAGCAGGACGCGGACAUGGAGGAUGUGCAACCGUAA
rnacentral:rRNA from 1 species